rnacentral:rRNA from 1 species
GAACCGGACGAACGUUAUUCGGGAAUCACUGGGCUUAAAGAGUACGUAGGCGGCCUGGUAAGUUGGGAUGUGAAAGCCCUCGGGCCCAACCGAGGGAAUUGCGUUCAAAACUACCAGACUUGAGGGAGACAGAGGUGAGCGGAACUGAUGGUGGAGCGGUGAAAUGCGUUGAUAUCAUUAGGAACACCGGCGGCGAAGGCGGCUCACUGGGUCUCUUCUGACGCUGAGGUACGAAAGCUAGGGGAGCGAACGGGAUUAGAUACCCCGGUAGUCCUAGCUGUAAGCGAUGAGCACUAGGUUGAGGGAACCUCCACAUUCUCUCGACCGUAGCGAAAGUGUUAAGUGCUCCGCCUGGGGAGUAUGGUCGCAAAGGCUGA